rnacentral:rRNA from 1 species
AGCGAACGCUGGCGGCAGGCCUAACACAUGCAAGCCGAACGAACUCUUCGGAGUUAGUGGCGGACGGGUGAGUAACACGUGGGAACGUGCCUUUAGGUUCGGAAUAACUCAGGGAAACUUGUGCUAAUACCGAAUGUGCCCUUCGGGGGAAAGAUUUAUCGCCUUUAGAGCGGCCCGCGUCUGAUUAGCUUGUUGGGGGGGUAAUGGCCCACCAAGGCGACGAUCAGUAGCUGGUCUGAGAGGAUGACCAGCCACAUUGGGACUGAGACACGGCCCAAACUCCUACGGGAGGCAGCAGUGGGGAAUCUUGCGCAAUGGGCGAAAGCCUGACGCAGCCAUGCCGCGUGGAUGAUGAAGGUCUUAGGAUUGUAAAAUCCUUUCACCGGUGAAGAUAAUGACUGUAGCCGGAGAAGAAGCCCCGGCUAACUUCGUGCCAGCCGCCGCAGUAACAC